UUGCAACUAAUUAAGCCAACCAAGUCCCUUUCCCCAUGGGGAUCUAAUGUUCAAUGGUUGCAAACAGCAGCCUCCUUGGUAGUGUAUGCAGCCUGUUUGUUGCCUGUAUGGGUUUCCCCAGGGGGAUGAUGGAGACAGUU